CAGAUGGGCCGCCAGCCGCUGUUAAAGCACCUGACAAAGACUGACAACUGGUGAAUGGAAAAACGGAAUAAGCACUUGGAAGAAGAAAACCAACAACUGAGACAACUAAUUGUUACAGGCAAGUCAAUAUACCUACCUCUCAGCUAGAUUUUCCUGGCGUAAUGGAUACUUUGAAAACCACAAGAGCGCAGCUAAUAGCACUGAAGGUGGCAGUUCAUACUGUGUGGGACAGAAGGUGAUGCACACGAUACACCCAUCUGAAGAGUUGAGCUCAUCUGCUUGUCAAGUGUCGUACUCAAGGCCUAAACAGCUGCUACUUUGACAAAGUUUCCUGGGACUUCAUAAGGUGCGAUCAGUGACGCUGUUACGAGAAAAAUUGCGGCGUUGAAAUAUCACUUGAAGGGAAACAUCAGGAACCUCAUCAGAAUACCACAAAUAAACUUUUAUGUCAUUAAUGUCAUUUACCACAGUUAACACCACUUUCUAUUCCCUGUGUUGAAGUUUUUGUAUAUUUGCAUGAUAAUAAAGUUGUGUGUAUUGUACUGUG